rnacentral:lncRNA from 10 species
GGGCCGCAAUCGCACCAAAAACCGUGAAGAAGGUGGCCCGGGUCAUCAUGUGGGUAGCAACUUCCACAGGAACAAGCGCGUGUGUAAGGAGAUCGCCAUUAUCCCCAGCAAGAAGCUCCGCAACAAGAAAGCAGGUUUAUUAAAGCAGGCUAUGUCACACAUCUCAUGAGGCAGAUUCAGAGGGGUCCGGUGAGAUGUAUCUCCAUCAGGCUACAGGAGGAGGAGAGAGAAAGGAGAGAUAAUUAGGAUCCUGUGGUCUCAGCCCUGGAUCAGCAGAUCACUGAAGUGGAUCCUGACACUAAGGAAAUGCUGAAGCUUUUGGAGUUAGGCAGUCUGUCCAAACUGCAGGUCACUCAGUCUAUGUUAGGAUUAAUUUCAAAAUGCCUCCUGGA